rnacentral:ncRNA from 1 species
AGUUGAAACUUAAAGGAAUUGACGGAAGAUCACACAAUGACUUGGAAUAUACGGCUUAAUUUGACUCAACACGGGAAAACUUACCAGGUCCGAACUUGAUA